GUAUAAAAUGUGGGGAGCUGACAUUUUAGAGGGAGCGGCCAGGCGUGGGCACACAGGAGCAAAGACCUGGCAAAAGUGAGGGAGCACGGAGCCUGUAAAUAUCUGAGGAAAGAACCUUCUAGCAAAGGGAGCAGCCGCAUGCCAAGGCCCCUUCUCGGACAAGAGGCCAGUGUGGCUGGAGGAGGGGGAGGAAGUGGGCAGAGGGGGGACUGCAGUGGGAUGUGAGGUCAGAGAGGCGAGGGGGUGGCAGGCCCCCGUGUGGGCCACGCAAGGGACCUGGUUCCAGCCUGUCGGUUGCAAGCCAUGCAGGAGGUUGAGCAGGGGAGGGACGAGGCCUACUCAUGUUUUCAUGGGAUCGUCCCACUGCUGGGCGGAGGACGCUGAACAGGGAGGAGCUGCGCAGAGAGACCAGCAAGGAGGCUGCUGAGGUGAUCGGACCCGGAGCUUCUAAAAUGAGGGGAAAGGAUCGUAGAAAACAUCUAAAAGAAUCCUAAAGAAGACAAGAAAGAAGAGGAAAUGGUAUAGAAAAUGGUGGGCAAAUGGAAAACAACUGACGAGAUGAGAGUCACAAGCCCCAAUAUUAGAAAUUACUGAAUUAGAUGAAAAAGGUCUAAAAAGUUAACAGGAAAAAAAUGGAUCACAUAAGCAUCACGUGAACUUGAAGACAGAGUUUCUACUUCCCGCUUCAUCUGCUGCCUGCUCUCUGGCUUCAGGCGAGCCCUGCCUGUUUGCAAACCAGCGCUGCUCCUCGGAGCCAAGCUGAGGGGGUGAGAGGAGCAUGGCCCAUCCCUCCCAGACCCGAGCCUGGUCUAGACGCCGCCCGAGAGAUGCCCAGACUGAUGCAAACAGUGCAGCCCAGGAGCACUGGAAGGCAGGUGCGCGGUGAGGCUCCCAGACAGCACGUGGAACACUUUAAAUAGAGUGUUUAGGAGGAAAGCAAGAGCACAGCAGUGCGGGAAGUGUCUAAAUGUCUAUUCUUCCCGCCUACACCUGUCGAGUGACACUGCACUGAAGAAGGAGACGCUGGGGCCGGAAGGAGGAGCUCAGAGCUGGAAAGAGACAGGCUCGCACCCAGCGACGGGCUGCAGCUGAAAGCUGAGGCCUCGUGGCACCAAAGGCCAAGCAAGGACUCCUCACCGAUCAAGGACCUGUGGUCACUACGGAUCGCAUCCUCCUCCGACCCAGUUCACGUUCGUGGAGGUCAAACUGGGAUACUUCCCUGCGUCUCCUUUUCCAAAUGCCUCUGGGGUUUCAAAGAUUCUCAGGAGCAUCUGCCUCUAUACCUUGACUUUGAAAGCUCACGUUUCCUCACAGGGCCCUUUUAUUUAUUUAUUACUUUUUUAAGGUAUGUGUUUUUUGGUGAGGAAGAUUGGCCCUGAGCUAAUAUCUCUUGCCACUCUUCCUCUUUUUAUUUUUCUUUUUUCUCCCCAAAGCCCCAGUACAUAGUUGUAUAUCACAGUCAUAGGUCUUUCUAGUGCUUCUAUGUGGGAGGCCACCAGAGCAUGGCUUGACGAGCGGUGUGCAGAUCCACACCCAGGAUCUGAACCAGGAACCCUGGGCUGACGAAAUGGAGCAUGCAAACUUAACCACUGUGUCACCAGGCUAGCCCCAGGGCCCUUUUAAAUACGAUGAGACGGCUGACUUUGUAA
ensembl:lncRNA